rnacentral:rRNA from 1 species
UGGGGAAUAUUGCACAAUGGGCGAAAGCCUGAUGCAGCAACGCCGCGUGAGUGAUGAAGGCCUUCGGGUUGUAAAGCUCUGUCUUUUGGGACGAUAAUGACGGUACCAAAGGAGGAAGCCACGGCUAACUACGUGCCAGCAGCCGCGGUAAUACGUAGGUGGCAAGCGUUGUCCGGGAUUUACUGGGCGUAAAGGAUGCGUAGGCGGAUUUUUAAGUGAGAUGUGAAAUACCCGGGCUUAACUUGGGUGCUGCAUUCAAANUGGGAAUCUAGAGUGCGGGAGAGGAGAAUGGAAUUCCUAGUGUAGCGGUGAAAUGCGUAGAGAUUAGAAGAACACCAGUGGCGAAGGCGAUUCUCUGGA